GUGAAUCAUCAAAUUUUUGAACGCAAAUUGCACUCUCUUCUGAGAGUAUGCCUGUUUGAGGGUCAGCCUAAAAAAAAUCUACAUAUUCGCUGUUUCGCGGUGACAUUCGUCGGAAAUUGGGUCAUCUUAAACCUUUGGGUUUUAAGCGGCUUAAACUUUUCUUUACGAUUCUACGAACGUUUCUAAGUUUUAUUAAAACGUUUAAGUAAUCGAUUUUUUGUAGA
rnacentral:misc_RNA from 1 species